rnacentral:rRNA from 1 species
UACGAAGGGGGCUAGCGUUGCUCGGAAUCACUGGGCGUAAAGGGCGCGUAGGCGGAUCUUUAAGUCGGGGGUGAAAUCCUGAGGCUCAACCUCAGAAUUGCCUUUGAUACUGAGGAUCUUGAGUCCGGGAGAGGUGAGUGGAACUGCGAGUGUAGAGGUGAAAUUCGUAGAUAUUCGCAAGAACACCAGUGGCGAAGGCGGCUCACUGGCCCGGUACUGACGCUGAGGCACGAAAGCGUGGGGAGCAAACAGG